UCCCUCCUCUUCUCUCUCCUUCAGGUUGCUGGUCUCCUGUGGUUGGUGGUCUCCAGUCAUUAGAGGAGCUGUGGAUUGACAUGAAUAGUUUGAUAUCCCUCCCUGAGGAGAUGAGUGGGUUGAAGAAGUGUUCCUUCAUUGAAGCAUCAGACAAUAGACUAAUGGACCUACCACACUCCAUUGGACUACUAUCAUCACUGACCGACCUCUACCUCCAGAAUAACCUUCUCACCCAACUACCUGUGUCCUUUAGUUAUUUAAAGAGUUUAAAGGUGUGUAAUGUCUCCAGUAACAGGUUAAUGUUCCUCCCUGAGUCAAUAGGAGGGUAUGUUGUACCACUAGUGUACUGUACUAAUAUGGUACUGUACUGAUUAUAACUUGUAAUGUGUGUGUGUGCCUGUGAAUCCCUAUAUCAGUGGUAUUAUAUGUACUGUGGGCAAUAGUUAGUUUAUUAAU